rnacentral:lncRNA from 1 species
GUGUUUAUCUCUCACUGCUUACUAACCUAGAAGGCAAUGUUUCCAACAGAAGCCAGAUCCUUUAUUUCCUGUUAAAAUCUCCUGUUUUAUUCCUAUCUCCAUUUUUUUUAGGAGGAGAAAAUAUCUAAAAGUAGGUAAUUCUUAAAGAAGCCUAUAAAUACAUUUUAUCCAUUGAGAGAGAAAAAAACAAAAAACAAAACAAAACAAAAAACUCCAGCCCUCUAUGGUAAUAAAGUAAUAAGCUUAGUUUAAAGUGGUCGGUUUUUAUCACAAAUCAAUGCUGCCCACCGCAAGGGAGUGUAGCCAGUAAUCUUGGGCAGCCUUUGAAGCCGCAUACAGAUGCAGACUUUCACCUCUGGGACUAACCGUAAGUUUAAUUAACAUAAAGUAAUCUAAAGGCAUGCUGGUUAGACGCCCCGUGCCUGAACAAAGCAUUCUAGGCAGGGGCUAGGGAUCCCUAUUCCUCUUUCCUGAAAACAAGGCUUUCUUUAAUCAGUCAGAGAAGAUUUUUAUUAUGCUCAGCCUUUUUUUUUUUCAUUGUACAAUGUUCUUAGAGACC